GUGACAUGACUUCCUGUAGUCACUUCUUUUGGGCAGUACAGAAAAUGUUUGUCCAGUACUUCUCUGUGAUCGUUUGUCACAGCGACCUCAAGCUCGCUACUCAUUGAAUUGAAUUAUUUUUCACCUUAUCUGAGAUACUUUGGGACACUUUGGAUAGAAAAUGUUUGUAGUAAAGUUUGGGAUUUUCUGCAUUUGUCUCCUGUGUUGCUGUAAUAGGAGUGAAGCCAAAGAACUCGUGGUCAAGAACAGGACUAGCGUGGCAUUAGCAGGAGAAACGCUCAGCAUUAACAUCAUGGUCACUGUCCCAGUCAACAGCAGUGGAACAAAAGUUUCUUGCAAAUAUAAAAACAUAGAGGUGUGGAGGCACACAUUUAAACAUGUGUAUUCUGUUCCUACACCCAUGUGGCUGUGGGCUAAUAUCUCCAUGCCUAACAGCUCCUUCAGUGGGGAGUACAGCUUCAAUUACCAAGCAUCAGUGCUUCCCUGGCUGGUUCUUGUACGAGAUGUGGGUUAUGUCAAGCCGGGUGAACCUCUACACAGUGAUGUCAUCGCUUUGCUGACUGUCACCCUCAUUUUAGUCCUUUUCAGCAUUAUCGGAUCAGUUUUCGUAGUCAGAUGGCACAAGGCUCCUCCUCAGACAGAGGUAAAAGAAGAUGGAGUAAAAGGCAGAGAAAGACAGAGCAGUGUCGGUGUAACCACUCAGGUUGCACACUCUGAAUCGGUGUACUCGUCGCUGGAACCCAGACCGGUCUCUAUUUAUGAUGUGCUGAAUGUCGACCAGGUCAGACGGGAAAGCACAGAGAAGCGCACCUCACAGGAAACGGCCAAGACAUCUCAGGCAGAAGAAGGAGUUUUUGAAUCUGUCUAUGAAAACCUGUGAAAGCUGUGAUUAAAUUCUAAUGUUAUGUAUGUAUGUAUGUAUGUAUGUAUGUAUGUACAGUUGGUAUGUCUAGGAAGCAUGUGUAUGGUCCCAGAAUCUGAAAACUUUUAUAUAUUAAUAUUUUGUCAACAUGCACAUAAAUAAAUAAAAGUCAACUAAUUUUCUACCUGGCCUA
rnacentral:lncRNA from 1 species